AAUAGAUACCCUGGUAGUCCACGCCGUAAACGAUGAGUGCUAAGUGUUGGGGGGUUUCCGCCCCUCAGUGCUGCAGCUAACGCAUUAAGCACUCCGCCUGGGGAGUACGGUCGCAAGACUGAAACUCAAAGGAAUUGACGGGGGCCCGCACAAGCGGUGGAGCAUGUGGUUUAAUUCGAAGCAACGCGAAGAACCUUACCAGGUCUUGACAUCCCGGUGACCACUAUGGAGACAUAGUUUCCCCUUCGGGGGCAACGGUGACAGGUGGUGCAUGGUUGUCGUCAGCUCGUGUCGUGAGAUGUUGGGUUAAGUCCCGCAACGAGCGCAACCCUUAUUCUUAGUUGCCAUCAUUCAGUUGGGCACUCUAAGGAGACUGCCGGUGAUAAACCGGAGGAAGGUGGGGAUGACGUCAAAUCAUCAUGCCCCUUAUGACCUGGGCUACACACGUGCUACAAUGGACGGUACAAACGGUUGCCAACCCGCGAGGGGAGCUAAUCCGAUAAAACCGUUCUCAGUUCGGAUUGUAGGCUGCAACUCGCCUACAU
rnacentral:rRNA from 1 species